rnacentral:lncRNA from 1 species
CCGGACGUUUCACGGUCUAUUGACCUUGUGCCACCACUGCGGUUGCUUUCUUCGCUGCCACCACCCCGCUUCUCACGGGGACACAUGGAGUCCAGACAGUUGUUAACAUAAACAAAUAAUCAAGUUUUUUUUAAAAGUGCAGGAAUAAGCAUAUGGUUUCGGUUUAUUUUUCUCUUGUCAGUUUCCUAACCUUAGUUCCUACAACUUCAAACUGAAUUAUUCCCAACUAUCUAUCUAACUCCCUAACAAUUCCUCUCACUUUCUCACAAUACAACUCGACCAACCCACUGCCUAUUCCACCCUCUUCCUUCUCCAACACCCAAGCCUCAACUCCCAACUGACAAACCUCAACUGUCUUUUUCAAAACCUCCCCUCUAACGUCUACUCCCCCCUUGCAUUCUCACUGGCCAAUCACAUCACCCCCAUUUUAACCCUUUCCUUGACAAAUCCUAGGAGGCAAAUGCCACAGUACCGCUCUGGUGGGAAGGUAAACGGCGUUUCUGUGCGCUGCUCUGGUUCACCAGAAGCGGCUUAGUCAUACUGGCCACAUGACCCGGAAGCUGUACGCCGGCUCCCUCGGCCAGUAAAGCAAGAUGAGCGCUGCACCCCCAGAGUCGGUCACGACUGGACCUAAUGGUCAGGGAUCCCUUUACCUUUACCUAAUAUUUCCAUUGUUUCUUUUUCUUUCCGUUUUCUCUGGAUCCUGUUCUACUGCAUGAAGAAACUUCUCAUUACCGCUUUUCCUGCCUCCCAUAUGAUCUUGAUGUCAGUUCCCUUAUUCAGAUUAAAUUCAAAGUAUUCUUUUAAAGAUUUCUUAGCUUUUUGUAUUAUUUCUUCAUUGUUAAGUAAUGCUUCAUUUAGCCUCCAUCUACGAUGUCCUCUUUCUUUUCCCUUCAGAGAUAAAAACACUGGGAUAUGAUCUGAUAGCAACUUUGGUUGGAUUUCUAUUUUUCCUACUCUUAAUGUUAAAUCUUUUGUGAUCCAAAGUCCAUCUAGUCUACUGGCUGACUGAUUUGGCUCCGAAAAAUAAGUGAACUCCCUUGGAUGUUUACAUCUCCAAGCAUCCAACUUGAAGGUUUCUAUUAAAUGGAAGAAUGAUUGUGGUAAUUUUCCUGUUUUAUUAUCUACACUUCUUUGUGUUCUAUCAUUUUCUUAGGAGAAAACUCCAUUAAAAUCUCCUAAAAGGAUUAUUUUUUCCUCCAUAUACUCUAGCAUUUUUUCCUCCAAUUUUUUUUGGUAGAAUUCUGCUUUAUUAUCGUUUGAAGCAUAUAUUCCUAUCACCACCAAUUUCUCUCCUUGUUCCAUUACUUGAAUUAUUACAAUCCUUCCCUCUUCAUCUUUAAAAAGCAUCUUUGGUUCUAAUCUAGGUUUUACAUAAAUAACCACCCCUCUUUUCUUACACUUGUCUGAGGAGAUGAAUUCUGUUCCUAACUUCUUAUUAGUCAACACCCUCCUGUGUUUCCUGGAUACAUGUGUCUUUUGGAGGCAUAUUAUGUCCAAUUUGUGUUUCAUUAAAAUAUGUCCCACUCUAUUACUUUUUAAUUUAUUCUUCAAACCAUUCACAUUCCAUGUUGUGAUUCCUAAGUCCAUUAUUUCUUUCAACUUAAAUACUACGAUAAAAAGUAAAGACAAAGAAAAUAAAGAAAACAUAGUGUGUUGCCCUAAAGGUGUACUCUUCUAGUUACUCUUGGUCUUCUUCCUGGUUGUUCUCUUCUUCUUCCUGGUUAUUCUCUCUAGUUUCCUCCAGUUCCUCAUCUCCCUCCUCCCCAGUCAACUGCCCUUUUAUUCCUAAAUUCUUUUUGUAACUUCUCACAAAUCUUUCUGCUUUUUCCACUGACUUGAAUCUCCAUCUUUUCUCUUUAUAUGUGAAAGUGAUUCCCUCUGAGAACUCCCACCUAUAUGGGAUGUUUUUCUUUUUGAGUGGGUCUAUCAUAAAUGUAGGCACUGUGGUUUAAAUCACUGUGCCACUUGUGCUUGCCGAUCAGAAGGUCGCGGUACGAAGCCCCACGACAGGGCGAGCUCCCAUUGUUCGGUCCCAGCUUCUGCCAACCAUUUCUUCCCCUUCUAUUUGCCAGGAGGUGAAGGGCCCAGUGGCCAUGAUCUUCGUUUUUUUGACGUUUACCUUCAGACCAUAUUUUGCGCUCUCCUCUUUCACUCUCAUUAAAUUUAAUUCCUCCUCACUUUCUGCCAUCAAGGUUGUGUCAUCUGCAUAUCUGAGGUUAUUGAUAUUUCUUCCGGCAAUCUUAAUUCCGGCUUGGGAUUCGUCCAGCCCAGCCUUUCGCAUGAUGAAUUCUGCAUAUAAGUUAAAUAAGCAGGGAGACAAAAUACAGCCUUGUCGUACUCCUUUCCCAAUUUUGAACCAAUCAGUUCUUCCAUAUCCAGUUCUAACUGUAGCUUCUUGUCCCACAGAGAUUUUUCAGGAGACAGAUGAGGUGAUCAGGCACUCUCAUUUCUUUAAGAACUUGCCAUAGUUUGCUGUGGUCGACACAGUCAAAGGCUUUUGCAUAGUCAAUGAAGCAGAAGUAGAUGUCUUUCUGGAUCUCUCUAGCUUUCUCCAUAAUCCAGCGCAUGUUUGCAAUUUGGUCUCUGGUUCCUCUGCCCCUUCGAAAUCCAGCUUGCACUUCUGGGAGUUCUCGGUCCACAUACUGCUUAAGCCUGCCUUGUAGAAUUUUAAGCAUAACCUUGCUAGCGUGUGAAAUGAGUGCAAUUGUGCGGUAGUUGGAGCAUUUUUUGGCACUGCCCUUCUUUGGGAUUGGGAUGUAGACUGAUCUUCUCCAAUCCUCUGGCCACUGCUGAGUUUUCCAAAUUUGCUGGCAUAUUGAGUGUAGCAUCUUAACAGCAUCAUCAUUACUUAAUGGAUCGCUACUUAAUGGAUCCAAUUGGCUUCCAGAGAGUGGUAGGGGAUGUUUUAUCCCAUGUUGAUGGCGUUUCAGCUGAUUCCCUGGGGGCCCGCUGGAAUACGGAGUUAACUAGGGCUAUUGACUGUCUGGCUCCAAAGCGCCCUCUCUGAUUGCAUGGAGCCCGGACAGCCCCGUGGUUUUCCCCAGAGCUGAGGGCGAUGAAACAAUCGUUGAGACGGCUAGAGCGCCGGUGGCAGAAAACUCAUUCUGAAUCAGACUGGACACGGGCUAGAGCUCAACGUCGAGCCUACCAAGUGGCAAUGGCAACGGCGAAGACGGCCUCCAUUGCAUCUGCAGAAAACAGCAGCAGGAGACUUUUUCAGGCGGUUCGCAAUCUAUCAGCACCAUCUGCGCCACCGGGGCCUGGUAGGGACCCCAAGAUCUCCUGCAAUGCUUUUGCAAAGUUUUUUGCAGACAAAGUCACUCAGAUUCAGAAGGAGGUAGACUCCAACGUGGGAGCAGGGCCAGGGCAGGAGAGUGCUAGAGUUCUGUCUAGUCUUGUUACAUGGGAUCAAUUCCAAUCUGUUACCUCCGAGGAUGUGGACAGGCUGCUUGGACAAGUGAAACCGACCACCUGUCUCCUUGAUCCUUGCCCAUCCUGGCUGAUAAAAGCGAGCCAGAAAGGGCUGGGCGAUGGGCUCUGCGGGGUGGUGAAUGCUUCCCUCUGUGAGGGAGCCUUCCCAGACCCGCUGAAAGAGGCGGUCAUUAAACCGCUUCUUAAAAAAACAUCUUUAGACCCGGCCAAUUUGGCCAACUAUCGCCCAGUCUCAAAUCUACCAUUCUUGGGCAAUGUGAUUGAGCGGGUGAUUGUCGAACAACUCCAAGUAGGCCUGGAGGAUGCGGACCAUUUGGAUCCCUUCCAAUCGGGAUUCAGGCCUCACCAUGGGACUGAAACUGCCUUGGUCGCGCUGGAUGAUGAUCUCCGGCGAGCUAGGGACAAAGGUGAAAGCUGUUUCCUAGUUCUGCUGGAUCUCUCAGUGGCCUUCGACACCAUCGACCAUAACAUCCUUCUGGACCGUCUAGAGUGGCUGGGAGCUGGGGGCACUGUUAUACGGUGGUUCCACUCCUUUCUCCUGGGCCAUGUCCAGAAAGUGGUGUUGGGGGAUGAGUGUUCAGACCCCUGGGCUCUCACUUGUGGGGUGCCUCAGGGUUCCGUCCUCUCCCCCAUGCUUUUUAAUAUCUAUAUGAAGCCGCUGGGAGAGAUCAUCAGGGGAUUUGAGCUGGGUGUUCAUCAGUAUGCGGAUGAUACCCAGCUCUACCUCUCUUUCAAAUUGGAACCAGUGAAGGCGGUGAAGAUCCUGUGUGAGUGUCUGGAGGCGGUUAGAGGAUGGAUGGGGGCUAACAGAUUGAGGGUGAAUCCUGACAAGACAGAAGUACUGUUUUUGGGGGACAGGGGGCAGGCGGGUGUGGGGGAUUCCCUGGUCCUGAAUGGGGUAACUGUGCCCCUGAAGGACCAGGUGCACAGCCUGGGAGUCAUUUUGGACUCACAGCUGUCCAUGGAGGCGCAGGUUAAUUCUGUGUCCAGGGCAGCUGUCUACCAGCUCUACCUGGUAUGCAGGCUAAGACCCUCCCUGCCCGCAGACUGUCUCGUCAGAGUGGUGCAUGCUCUAGUUAUCUCCCGCUUGGACUACUGCAACGUGCUCUACGUGGGGCUACCUUUGAAGGUGACGUGGAAACUGCAAUUAAUCCAGAAUGCGGCAGCUAGACUGGUGACUGGGAGUGGCCGCCAGGACCAUAUAACACCAGUCCUGAGAGAUCUGCAUUGGCUCCCAGGAUAUUUCCCUAAAUGGCCUCGGUCCGGUAUACCUGAAGGAGCGUCUCCACCCCCUUCGUUCAGCCUGGACUCUGAGAUCCAGCGCCGAGGGCCUUUUGGCGGUUCCCUCAUUGCAAGAAGUAAGGUUACAGGGAACCAGACAGAGGGCCUUCUCGGUAGUGGCGCCCACCCUGUGGAACACCCUCCCACCAGAUGUGAAAGAAAUAAGCAGCUAUCCUAUCUUUAAAAGACAUCUGAAGGCAUCCCUGUUCAGGGAAGUUUUUAAUAUUUAUUUUUAUUUUUUUUAUAAGAUAUUUAUUAGGUUUUUUCUGAAAUAUUACAGUAAAAAUGAAAAAGAAAAGAGAAAAAUACAAAAUAAAAACAAUUAAAAACACACAUAUUUCCAGUUACUUAUUUUCCUUUAGCUUGUUUCCCGGACCUCCUCAUACCUCCCUUUUUUGUAUUCCACUUCAAUUUAUUGGUUCAGCAAAUCCUUACCAUUAGAUUUUAACCCAUUUAUAACCAUUUUUCAUAUUCUCUUAAAGCAUUACAGCUAGAAACCACUUAGUUACUAUCCAACAUCAUUCUAACAUUCAUUAAUUUUACAAUAUUUCUGUAAGUAGUCUUUAAAUUUCUUCCAAUCUUCUUCCACCAACUCUUCUCCCUGGUCUCGGAUUCUGCUAGUCAUUUCCGCCAAUUCCAUAUAGUCCAUCACCUUCAUCUGCCAUUCUUCCCGGGUGGGUAGAUCUUGUGUCUUCCAAUACUUUGCAAUGAGUAUUCUUGCUGCUGUUGUAGCAUACAUAAAAAAGUUCUGUCCUUCUUUGGCACCAAUUGGCCAACAAUGCCCAGAAGAAAGGCCUCUGGUUUCUUCAAGAAGGUAUAUUUAAAUACCUUUUUCAGUUCAUUAUAUAUCAUUUCCCAGAAAGCCUUAAUCCUUGGGCACGUCCACCAAAGGUGAAAGAAUGUACCUUCAGUUUCUUUACAUUUCCAACAUUUAUUAUCGGGCAAAUGAUAGAUUUUUGCAAGCUUGACUGGAGUCAUGUACCACCUGUAUAUCAUUUUCAUAAUAUUCUCUCUUAAGGCAUUACAUGCCGUAAACUUCAUACCUGUGGUCCAUAACUGUUCCCAGUCAGCAAACAUAAUAUUAUGUCCAAAAUCUUGUGCCCAUUUAAUCAUCGCAGAUUUCACCGUUUCAUCCUGAGUAUUCCAUUUCAACAGCAAGUUAUACAUUCUUGACAAAUUUUUAGUUUUGGGUUCUAACAGUUCUGUUUCUAAUUUUGAUCUUUCCACCUGGAAGCCAAUUUUCUUAUCCAGAUUAUAUGCCUCCAUUAUCUGGUAAUAAUGAAGCCAAUCUCUCACUUUAUUUUUUUAGUUUCUCGAAACUCUGCAAUUUCAAUUUGUCUCCUUCUUGUUCCAAAAUUUCCCAAUAUUUCGGCCAUUUGGCCUCCAUAUUGAGCCUUUUCAGAGCUUUCGCUUCCAUCGGUGACAACCACCUUGGGGUUUUAUUUUCCAAUAAAUCCUUGUAUCUUAUCCAAACAUUAAACAGUGCUUUCCUGACAAUAUGAUUUUUAAAUGCUUUAUGUGCUUUGACCUUAUCAUACCAUAAAUAUGCAUGCCAUCCAAAUACGUUGUUGAAACCUUCCAAAUCCAAAAUGUCUGUAUUUUCAAGAAGUAGCCAUUCUUUCAACCAGCAAAAAGCUGCUGAUUCAUAAUAAAGUUUAAAGUCUGGCAGGGCAAAUCCACCUCUUUCCUUUGCAUCAGUUAAUAUCUUGAAUUUUAUUCUGGGCUUCUUGCCCAGUUUUUAAUAUUUAAUGCUGUACUUGAUUAGGAGCCGCCCAGAGUGGCUGGGGAAACUCAGUCAGACGGGCGGGAAAUAAAUAAAUUAUUAUUAUUAUUAUUAUUAUUAUUAUUAUUAUUAUUAUUCUAGACUAGUCCAAAUAUCGGCGCUACUUUUUUCCCUUCAAACCCCUCUUCUCCCAAUCGCUGCUUCUCAAGUCCGUUCCCAAACCGUUCUUCUCCUUCUGUCUUUGUUGUCCGUUGCCGUCUUGUCAUUCUAGUCUCUCCCUUCCCCUACUGUUGCUUUCUCGAUAUUUCUACACUCAGAUAUUUCUCCACGUGCUUGCAAGUAAAGAUACAAACAUGCAAGCUGGAUUAUAAUGUCCAUAAAAUUUAGGAAAUUCUAUUCCUUACUGGCACAGUUAAGGAGAACUAUAACAGAAAAAUUCCCCAUGCUAUUUCAGUAUACUCAACCACCACUCAAGCUUCUUUAUAUUUUUUACCUGCGUAACUCCAGAGAAAAAUAACAGCUGGAGACAUUUCCACCGAGCUGAAAGCAAUUUGAAAGUGAGGUCAUUGCUGACAGUGUGUAUACACUCAGCCCACCUUGUGGUAAAUAAAUUUUGUAUGUUUUUUUGUGUUUGACCAGAGGAGACAGAAGGUAAAAGAUUGGUAUGACCACAUUGUCACACAUGUAGGGGUUCUUUUUUUUAUUAAUUGCUUACAUCUGCUAUAAAGACUUUGUUUUAAAUAAAAAGUCCACUUUUUAAAUAAAAAGUCCACUUUUUAAAUAAAAUAAGCCCACACCUAUGUACACCAUGUUUCAAUUUUACUAUAAUUUAAAAAGAAUUGUAAACCACACUGUUGAAAGGUGGGAUAUAAACCAAUUAAUAUAAAUAAAUAAAGCCUCUUUUCAAAACACCUUCAAGUCUUUUAAAAAAAAUAUGUCUCUAGUCUCAGCAGUAUAAUCACUCCUCCUAUUAAAAAACAGCUUACCAGUUUGGAAGUGAAACAGCCCAAUCCUGAAAAAUAAGGUUGUAGUUUUUAUCUACUUACGGGAUGAAAUAUUAUCACCUAAAUUCCUAUGACUGUCCAGGACUGAACGGUGGCCGUUGAGUCUAUAGACAUAAGAAUGAUAAAGUAGCUCAGUCUAUUGUCCAGAGGUGGAACGUCCUGGUUCCUAGCAAUGAGCAACGGCCAUGUUCAGCCUCCAUGGUCCUAAGGCAGACUCUCAAUACCAGUUGCUAAGAUUCACUGGGGCUGGGGGGAGGCUGCUGUUGUGCCCAGGUCCUUCUCGCAGGCUUCCCACUGCCAUCUGGUUGGUCGCUGUGAGAACAGGAAGCUGGGUCACUGGCUUGAUGCAACAGGGUUCUCGAAUUUUUCCCUCCCUUAGGGCAGAAGUGAGAAUUGCCCAAAGAAGGAGAAAUUUAGUGCUGCUGUAAUGAGAAGCAGCAUGUCUGUCCAGAAAGAGCAAAUGGUGGACGCUGGAUUUUUCAAUAUGAAAAAUGAUUUUUGCUUUGGUUUUUUUGAACACUGAAAAAUGCAACUUGGCUGCAUGGAAGUCAAUGGAACCCAUGUUUCUGCAUUCAGCAGCAGCUGUUGAUGUGCCUCUGUCUCUGGCACUCAGGACUCUGCCCAGGCCUGGCCUCCUCUGUUCCCCAAGUGCUUUUCAUCUGGCUAGAAUGUUUCCCUGAACCUGGAUAAUGCUUCUUUCUCUGGAUGCAGGAUGGAGAGAGGGGUGGGAGUGAGGGCACCCAGUUAACAUUUACAUGGGUUGCUCAGUCCACUUUUUCCUCCAGCUACACCCGCUGCUGGCAUGUGGUCCUCCAAAGGGUGCUAUAUUGCAAUAAGUGAUCAUGAUGAGGGCUGGCAGAGAGACCAGACGUGGGCCUUUGAGGGGAACUUCCAGGAGGACGAGAAAGAAAAAAUGGGGAAGGAGAAUGUCUCCUUUUGCGAACCUUGAAUAGCACUGCAAGAUCCCUCUUUCAGGUUGGGGAACACACUGCAACUCUUUGGUGUGUGUCACCACUUACUCUGAUGUAUGUUACUCAACUCUUAAAUGAUGCAGAUAAAUACUAUACUCACAUGUGGAAUCCUACAGUUCUUCGGGUUAAGGGGGAUCGACUCACCAGGCUUAAGAUUCCUUGGAAUGCAGAAUCUGUCACACAUUAUUUUUUCCAAAGGAAAAAAAAAUACCCCUUCUAAUGGGAAGCUGCUUCAUUUUUUAAAAAAUGGCAUCGCUUGUGAAAUAAAAUCAACACCAGAUAGGAGAACAGAAGCCUCUCUUUUAAUUCUAGAGAAAAAUCAGGAUAAAUUAGACUUUGAUCAAACAAGAUACAGGGAACCCGGAAAAGCAACUUCCAGUAAACUUGGAGAAAGUAGUACUGAUAUGAGACUAUACAAAUAUUCAGUAAUGUAUAGUAUAUUCCAUGUGAAUUUAUUUCACACCCAGUUAUCUUUCCUCUUUAGGGCACCCCCCUCCCCACAAAAACUGGAGAAAAUAGGAGCUGAAAGAAGUCUGAACAAGUUGGUUAUGGCAUUCAACAUUUCAGCAGCCAGAACGUGACUUCCAAGGGUAAAUUUUGCUUCCCUCUAUUUGCAUACUGGCUUCUUCUUGCAGGGAAUUACUUCACAUCAUGAUCAAGUCCCCCAAAGUAUUUGGCUCUGAACAAGGUAUGGUCUCCUCCACUGGGCACCAUUGCAGAUAGCAGGGGCUGAAGACACCGUCUAGCACAAAUCUACCCUUUACCUAGUCCCAUAUUCUGACACCCUUUUUCUGGAAAUGCUAAAACAGAAGGGAAAAAGGGUUUUGGAUCCACACCACCCCUUAUAAAUUGUAACCAAUGCCUAUGUCACAUAGUCUCAGGGGGGAAAUUAUACCUGUAGGUUUACAAUCUGAGGUAGACAUGAUAGACAGGGGAAAGUAAAGAGAGGAAUGGGUAAGGGAAAUUAAAAACAAGGUACCAAGGAAAGGGGGAAAUCAGAAAAAGAGAAAAGGUAAAUUUUAAGCAGUUUAAAAUGUUGUAUAGAGGUGAAGCAAUAAUGUGAGUAUCAAAGGGGACAGGAUUCUUCUAGAAAGAAGGUGCCAGCAACAGGAAAAGGAGAGGCAUGGAAAUGAACUGGAAGAAUAUACCUUGGAAGAAGAUGACUAGAAACAGUGGAAUCAAGAGAGCAGGAAGGAAUACCGAGACAGAGGACACCAGCGAGAACAUUUAAAAGUUAGACCAAUGAGCUUAUGGUGAAUAUGGAAAAAAUUAAGACAGUUCACAAAAGGGCAAUUGGUAAAUCAAUCUCAUUGUAAACAUUUAUGCUUAAGAACACAGUUAUCUCUUAUCUUACGCAGAAGCUGUUGUUGCCCUUUCCUGUGAAAAAUCUGGAGCCACUCAACUGAUUUGCACCCAGUUACCACCACACAAAAGCCCACGGCAUGUAGACAAUGUUUCCAUGCUUAGCUCCACCUUCUGGCUGGGGCUGAUGGGGGUUCUGGUCCAAAACAUCUAGAGAGCACCAGGGUGGAAAAAGUGACUUCCAUUUUAUAAAGGCUGGGCACCUACUUCAGAAUCAAAUGCCCAAGGCCCCUCUGUGACAUCAACCAAGUCAUAGCAGUUUAUCCGAUGGCAACCAGAGGGAUGGGAUCUACACACCUAGUCACUGUGACAUAUCUCAUCAAGAUGGAGACAAAAGACAUCACAGCUAGAGAGGCUGGAUGGUGCUCAUGGUCCAUUAUACUGAUACUAGCUAAGCAAGGACGUAAUUCAACUAGUUGGACUCGGGGGCGGGUGGAAUCCUAUGUGCAAUAUCUAUCUUGAUCCAGGGUAAAAUCUUCACUUCAACUGUAUUACAAUUUCCACAGACUAAUCUAAAAUGUGCUUUUUCAAUUUGUACACUUUUCUUGACAGACGGCCAUCUUGAAACCCUGAUAAGGCAAAGGAGGGAUAUAAACCCCAGCUUCUAUUGCUGCAAGAAGCAUUUUUAAUGGUUAUACCCCCUCAAAGACAUAGAAGAAAAAUGCUGAACUUCUUUAAAGAAUAAAUGCAAAAGUGUUUUUGUUUUUUAAACCUUAGGCUUAU